rnacentral:tRNA from 1 species
AAUAAGGUGCCUGACUAAAGGACUAUUUUGAUGGAAUAGAUAAUGUAAAUUUUACCCUUAUUA